rnacentral:lncRNA from 1 species
AUAAAUUAAAUCUUUUCUUUGUGAAUCGACUUCAAACUUAAUAAAUUUUAUUUGACAGUUAUAAAUUACUUUUAAAUUGCGUCACUAACUAUUUCAUCAAUCAACAAAUUAUGAUAACAUAAUAGGAUUUGUUUAAUGGUAGGACUCACACAACUGCGCUUCGAUGAGCAUUGGCAGAAUUACUCCACUGCACCAUCAGAAGACAUUCUCCUUCUAGAAGUACUUUUUUUUUUUCUUUUUUUGAUAACAUCUAGAAGUACUUCUAUGUAAAGUAGUACUUGCGCUAUAAAUAGGGUAAAAGCUCAUUUAGUCCUUGUAUUUUAAGAUUAGUGUCCGUUUAGUCCCUAUAUUUUUAAAAAUGUCUCGAAACAUCCCUGCCGUUAAAGUAUUGAUACCCCUACCGUUACUUUUUAUUUAUUUUGGCUUACUUUUACAAUAUU